rnacentral:rRNA from 1 species
GGUAUCCUGACCGUGCGAAGGUAGCGUAAUCACUUGUCUUUUAAAUGAAGACCUGUAUGAAUGGCAUAACGAGGGUUUAACUGUCUCCUCCUCCCAGUCAAUGAAAUUGAUCUAUCCGUGCAGAAGCGGAUAUAUAAACAUAAGACGAGAAGACCCUAUGGAGCUUUAGGCCCAGGACCAAACAUGUUAAGAGAUUAUACAAGCUAUAAGUAAUAAAAAAUCAAAUUAAACCAAGUGUAAACUGAUUCAAGUGCCUUCGGUUGGGGCGACCACGGGGAAAAAAGAAACCCCCACAUGGAAUGGAAGUACCUCCCUAAACUAAGAAAAACAUAUCCAAGUAACAGAACAUCUGACCAAAAAUGACCCAGGAGAAUGAUCCUGAUCAAUGAACCAAGUUACCCUAGGGAUAACAGCGCAAUCCUUUCCCAGAGCCCAUAUCGACGAAAGGGUUUACGACCUCGAUGUUGGAUCAGGACAUCCUAAUGGUGCAGCCGCUAUUAAGGGUUCGUUUGUUCAACGAUUAAUAGUCCU